GUCGCCCGAGGUGGUAAAUUUCGCAGCGACCACACGCCCUUGAGGUAAAAAAGAGAUGCAGGAGGAUGCUGCGCCUGCCGGGCGGC
ncrna:unclassified sequences skipping-rope RNA